UACAGAGGUGGCAAGCGUUGUUCGGAAUUACUGGGCGUAAAGGGCGCGUAGGCGGCCCGUCAAGUCCCGUGUGAAAGCCCCCGGCUCAACCGGGGAACGGCGCGGGAAACUAGCAGGCUUGAGUUCGGGAGAGGGAAGCGGAAUUCCGGGUGUAGCGGUGAAAUGCGCAGAUAUCCGGAGGAACACCGGUGGCGAAGGCGGCUUCCUGGACCGACACUGACGCUGAGGCGCGAAAGCCAGGGGAGCAAACGGG
rnacentral:rRNA from 1 species